rnacentral:rRNA from 1 species
CGGUGAGGCGAUGGCACAUUGAAUACAUCAGUUCCCAAUGGAUCACUGAAGUUAAGUAACGUUACGCAUGGUUGGUAUCCAGAUGGGUGACCAUUUGGGACAUAAUGUACCCUACUGU